CAAAUGACUCCCGGCAAUGGAUAUCUCGGCUCUUGCAUCGAUGAAGAACGUAGUGAAAUGCGAUACUUGGUGUGAAUUGCAGAAUCUCGUGAACCAUUGAGUCUUUGAACGCAAGUUGUGCCCGAGGCCUUGUGGCCGAGGGCACGCCUGCUUGGGCGUCAUGG
rnacentral:rRNA from 1 species